GCAAGUCGUACGAGAAAGCUUAACUUCGGUUUGGCAAGUAAAGUGGCGAACGGGUGAGUAACACGUGGAUAACUUGCCCCUAAAUCUGGGAUAAUCAACCGAAAGGUCGUCUAAUACCGGGUAAUACCACAGAAUGGCAUCAUUUUGUGGUCAAAGGUGGAGCAAUCUACCGUUUAGGGAUAGGUCCGCGGUUCAUUAGCUUGUUGGUAGGGUAACGGCCUACCAAGGCGACGAUGAAUAGCCGGCUUGAGAGAGUGAUC
rnacentral:rRNA from 1 species